rnacentral:tRNA from 1 species
GUCCCUAUCGUCUAGAGGCCUGGACAUCGCCCUUUCACGGCGGUAACCGGGGUUCGAAUCCCCGUAGGGACGCCA